GGGAUUUUUUCGGCAUACAGGCCUAACUGUCCCCUAGUGAAAAAAAUUUGCGUACGGCCCUGACUCUGUUGGAGUUUUAUAACAGUAUCGAAAUUGGCAUUAUUACAAAACCGUUUUAUUGUUGUUACGUUUUUGGAUAUUAGACAAAAAUACCCAAAAGAUGAGCCCUACCGGGAGGGCUGGCCUUAGCAGUAGGGCUAUUUUUCACCGCUUGUUUACAUGAGAAAAAUCAGCCCUACUGGUAGGGAUAGUUUCCUUUCGCAAGUAGCACUUAAAUGGCUUCCGUGCGACUCAUUAUUUUUAUUUUGGCGUCCAAAAUCAUAGUUUGCCCACUAAAUUUUGGAAUAAAAGCCAACAUACAUUUGAAUAUCCUUUAAAACUACAUUCUUAAAACAAAAAAAAGCUUCAAAGAGUUUAGUCUAAAAUCGUUUUGACGGCUUUUUCACUCAGCCCUACUACUGGCCUCUCUACUGCGUUUAUAUGAGAAAAUUCCAGCCCUACUAGGCGAGAUCUCGGGUGAAUAAUAGUGAGAUCUCGCCUAGGAGGGCUGGCCCUCUUCUUAUGUAAACGUAAACAAUUUUUAAUAAGGAUUUCAAAUAGCACGCGGGAUCUUGCCUAGUAUAUGGGGCCAGCCCUCCCUGUAGGGCUCAUGUUAACAGCCUCUUAAAUGUAUGUUUUGAUUUCAAAAUUGGCAUGAAUUUUUGAGCAGGCAGUAAAAUUAAAACUGGAAUAAAAUGUGUCUAUUUUUCAGCGCCAUGUUAUGUAAAUGCAUCAGACAACUUGAGAUCGGAGAAAAUCCGUCUCCAUGGACAAAAGGCAAAUUUAGAAUGUAAGAAAGGCUUCACUCUUUCUGGCAUAAUCGGUGGUGAAAUGCCAGUCUGCUUCAAUGGAACAUGGAAAUCCGAAUACGCAAGGUUUCCAUAUUGUAAAGAUGAUGAUAAAAUAGCUAAGACGAGAGAAAGUUGGUGGAGUUUUUUCAAAAGACAGGCUAGCAAAUUCGGUUAAAACGAUAAAGAAUUUAUUAGCAUUACCAUUGGCAAUGGAAGAUAAGUUUAUUGUCUAAACAGAUAUUACAUGCACAAAAGUAAAAUUGUAUAUGCUCCACAGUACAUUGUAUAUGUUAAAUCUAAUAGUAACAUGAAAUGAAUAAUUAUAUAACUAGAGGGCACUCAGAGACUGCAAACCUCCGCCCGUAUUGAAUUUCGGUCGUGCGGAAAUGCAACUAAGACAAUAGAUAAUGAAGGCUGAAGCUUAAUGAGGUUUAUCAUCUCAUUGUCUUAGUACAGCGUGCGAGUUUUUUUUAAUUGACCGG